rnacentral:rRNA from 1 species
UGGGUGAGUAACACGUGAGUGACCUGCCUUUUAGACUGGAACAACUUACCGAAAGGUGAGCUAAUGCCGGAUGAGUUAUAUAAGUGCAUGUUUAUAUAGGAAAAGUUGGGGAGACCUGACGCUGAAAGAUGGACUCGCGUCCCAUUAGCUAGUUGGUAGGGUAAUGGCCUACCAAGGCGACGAUGGGUAGCCGGCCUGAGAGGGUGGCCGGCCACACUGGGACUGAGACACGGCCCAGACUCCUACGGAAGGCAGCAG